rnacentral:rRNA from 1 species
GUGGGGAAUAUUGGACAAUGGGCGCAAGCCUGAUCCAGCCAUGCCGCGUGAGUGAUGAAGGCCUUAGGGUUGUAAAGCUCUUUCAGUGGGGACGAUAAUGACGGUACCCACAGAAGAAGCCCCGGCUAACUUCGUGCCAGCAGCCGCGGUAAUACGAAGGGGGCUAGCGUUGUUCGGAUUUACUGGGCGUAAAGCGCACGUAGGCGGAUCGUUAAGUCGGGGGUGAAAUCCUGGAGCUCAACUCCAGAACUGCAUUCGAUACUGGCGAUCUUGAGUCCGGAAGAGGUGAGUGGAACUCCUAGUGUAGAGGUGGAAUUCGUAGAUAUUAGGAAGAACACCAGUGGCGAAGGCGGCUCACUGGUCCGGUACUGACGCUGAGGUGCGAAAGCGUGGGGAGCAAACAGGAUUAGAAACCCCGGUAGUCC